rnacentral:rRNA from 1 species
GACGAACGCUGGCGGCGUGCCUAAUACAUGCAAGUUGAGCGCUGAAGGUUGGUACUUGUACCAACUGGAUGAGCAGCGAACGAGUGAGUAACGCGUGGGGAAUCUGCCUUUGAGCGGGGGACAACAUUUGGAAACGAAUGCUAAUACCGCAUAAAAACUUUAAACACAAGUUUUAAGUUUGAAAGAUGCAAUUGCAUCACUCAAAGAUGAUCCCGCGUUGUAUUAGCUAGUUGGUGAGGUAAAGGCUCACCAAGGCGAUGAUACAUAGCCGACCUGAGAGGGUGAUCGGCCACAUUGGGACUGAGACACGGCCCAAACUCCUACGGGAGGCAGCAGUAGGGAAUCUUCGGCAAUGGACGAAAGUCUGACCGAGCAACGCCGCGUGAGUGAAGAAGGGUUUCGGAUCGUAAAACUCUGUUGGUAGAGAAGAACGUUGGUGAGAGUGGAAAGCUCAUCAAGUGACGGUAACUACCCAGAAAGGGACGGCUAACUACGUG